CCAGCCUGUGCUAAGAAAACUGCCCCACAUCAUCUGCAGUAGGACGGGGGAGUUGGAGCCCUGGUCAGGCCACUCUGCUACUGACCACAGUUUUCUCAUCUCUAAAAAGGCGCAGUAACAAUAUAAUUACCGUAUGCAGUCCCCCAGGAUACAGGGUCAAAGGAGAGCACAACCAUCGCAGUUGGAAGCCCAUGGGGCAGAAGCAAGGUCUCGCUGUGUUACCCUGGCUGGAGUGCAGUGGCUACUUACAGGCAUGAUCAUAGCAUACUGCAGCCUCGAACUCCUGGACUAGAGCAGUUCUCCUGCCUCAGCCUCCAGAGCAGCUGGGACUGCAGACACGCACCACAGAGCCCAGCCUGAGUCAUUUUGAUUCUGUAACUGGCUUCCUCUCGGCGGGCAGGCUCACACCCUCCACCCCCAGCUGGAGAUGGAAGGAGGAUGCUCACCGCCCAUUCCUCAUGCAGGCCAUCGAUGGAAAUGUCAGACAGUGCGAGUCCACGCCUGAACACUUCUGGGGUCCGCUCUGGGACUGACACUGGCAGAUCCAUCGGUGAGCUCCCGCCUGCCACCUCUGGGCCUGCAUUGCGGUGAUAGGGCCAAGGGCCUGGGCCUUCAAUUCUCCAGACUUGCCAAAAUGCUCAGCGCAGGCCUCGUCGGCAACUGCAGACAAGCAGAGGCAGCACCUGGGCUCUGCCUGUGCCUGGCACAGUGAAGCGAGGGUGGGGGCAGGAAUGAGGGUCCUCUCCAUGCAAGGGGGGAAGAUAGAAGAACAAAAUUUCACCCUAAUGUAGUGUCUUUAGACCGUGCAAUGUUGUGCUCCUGUUAGUCUGAUAUCAGGGGCUUGCAGCCUGGCAAAGGAAAAAAAACAGGCUGAGGCACAUGAUAGAAGACAGGCAGGGAUGCCACAAUCAUAACCAUGGCAAAGACCAGGAUCAGAAAGGCCCACCAUCUCUGACCCCAAAUCCCUGGGCAGAUGGUUCCAGAACUCAGAAUUUUCCCAGUUGUAGAAAGAUGGGGCCAGGUGCAGUGGCUCACGCCUGUAAUCCCAGCAUUUUGGGAGUACAAGGUGGGCGGAUCACCUGAGGUCAGGAGUUCGAGACCAGCCUGGCCAACAUGGUGAAACCCUGUCUCUACUAAAAAAAAAAAAAAAAAUUAGCCGGGCGUGGCGAUGCAUGCCUGUAAUCCCAGCUACUCGGGAGGCUGAGCCAGGAGAAUUGCUUGAACCCGGGAGGCGGAGGUUGCAGUGAGCCAAGAUCGCGCCACUACACUCCAGUCCGGGCGACAGAGCAAGAGUCCAUUCCCCCACCACCAAAAAAAAAAAAAAAAGAAAGAAAGAUGAUGUGAUACAUAUCACAUAUUUCCUAACACCCCCAACCAAACACAUUUAUGCAUAUGCAUAAAGCAGACGAGGAAAGAUUCUAAAUAGGCUCUGAAUCUCAGUUUUCUCAUCUCUACAAUGGGGCAGUGAUGGCAUGCACCUCCCAGGGCUGUUCUGAGAAUCUGAUGCCUCCCAUUGCACUGGUGAGCCUGGCACAGGCACAGGUCCCACCCCAGGCCCUUUGAACUGGCUGUUCCUUUGGCCUGGAACAUUCCUCCCCAGAUACCUCCUGAGAGGGCUCCCUCACUUCCUUCAAGGCACUGCUCAAAUGCUACCUCUUCACAGAGGCUUUCCCUGACCACCCCGUCUCUUUCCUCUUCCUGCAUAGCCUCUGUCACCUGACAUUUUAUGUCAUAAAUUACUCAUUUAUUAAUUUCCUGCUCUCCCACAGUGGCACCCGAGCUCUGUGAGGGCAAGACUUUGUUCGGUUGUGGGCUAUGCCCCCAACCCCUCGGACAGUGCCUGCACAGGUGGACAUUUUUGUUGGAUGAAGGAUUUUCUGUUAAAUGUGUCUGGCACACACAGAAAAACAAAGCCCAGCAGGUACGAUGGUGAUUAUUAUUGUUACUGGUGGCGCUCUAUUAUUGUUAUUAGUGUCUGUUGAAAAAGACCCUGAGCUAUACCA
rnacentral:lncRNA from 1 species